GCACAAGCGGUGGAUGAUGUGGAUUAAUUCGAUGCAACGCGAAAACCUUACCUACCUUGACAUGUCCGGAAUCCGAAGAGAUUUGGGAGUGCUCGCAAGAGAACCGGAACACAGGUGCUGCAUGGCUGUCGUCAGCUCGUGUCGUGAGAUGUUGGGUUAAGUCCCGCAACGAGCGCAACCCUUGUCAUUAGUUGCCAUCAUUUGGUUGGGCACUCUAAUGAGACUGCCGGUGACAAACCGGAGGAAGGUGGGGAUGACGUCAAGUCCUCAUGGCCCUUAUGGGUAGGGCUUCACACGUCAUACAAUGGUCGGUACAGAGGGUUGCCAACCCGCGAGGGGGAGCUAAUCCCACAAAGCCGAUCGUAGUCCGGAUCGCAGUCUGCAACUCGACUGCGUGAAGUCGGAAUCGCUAGUAAUCGUGGAUCAGCAUGUCACGGUGAAUACGUUCCCGGGUCUU
rnacentral:rRNA from 1 species